rnacentral:rRNA from 1 species
UACGUAGGGAGCAAGCGUUGUCCGGAAUCAUUGGGCGUAAAGCGCGCGUAGGUGGCUUCGUAAGUCCGUUGUGAAAGUCAAAGGCUCAACCUUUGAAAGCCGAUGGAUACUGUGAAGCUAGAGUCCGGAAGAGGCGAGUGGAAUUCCUAGUGUAGAGGUGAAAUUCGUAGAUAUUAGGAAGAACACCAGUGGCGAAGGCGGCUCACUGGCUCGGUACUGACGCUGAGGCGCGAAAGCGUGGGGAGCAAACAGG